rnacentral:rRNA from 1 species
GAGCGGGCGUAGCAAUACGUCAGCGGCAGACGGGUGAGUAACGCGUGGGAACGUACCUUUUGGUUCGGAACAACACAGGGAAACUUGUGCUAAUACCGGAUAAGCCCUUACGGGGAAAGAUUUAUCGCCGAAAGAUCGGCCCGCGUCUGAUUAGCUAGUUGGUGAGGUAACGGCUCACCAAGGCGACGAUCAGUAGCUGGUCUGAGAGGAUGAUCAGCCACAUUGGGACUGAGACACGGCCCAAACUCCUACGGGAGGCAGCAGUGGGGAAUAUUGGACAAUGGGCGCAAGCCUGAUCCAGCCAUGCCGCGUGAGUGAUGAAGGCCCUAGGGUUGUAAAGCUCUUUUGUGCGGGAAGAUAAUGACGGUACCG